CUUUUGCCUCUCGCCAUGAUUCUGAGGCCUCCCCAGCCAUGGAGAACCUCUUUUUGUUCCCAGUUCCAAUUAAACCUCUUUUUGUUCCCAGGGUAUGUCUUUAUCAGCAUCAUGAAAACAAACUAAUACAGCUGGAAAAGGGCAGACCGCCAAGCAGCAGAUGAUGCAGGUUUAAGGAAUCAAGGUUGCUAAGAGACCACCUGUGCUGAAUACACUUUGUUCUGGCAAGAGCAGAAAACUGAGAAGCCGUGUUACCUACCACUACCUGGGAUUAAUUCAGGGAGCGGGAUAAUUCUGGAUAUGACUGGUAAAAACUGGAUAUUAAUUUCUACUACUACUCCCAAAAGUCUAGAAGAUGAAAUUGUGGGAAGACUUCUAAAAAUUUUGUUUGUUAUCUUUGUUGACUUAAUUUCUAUUAUAUAUGUUGUGAUAACUUCUUAGAAAGCUGACUUCCUUUCCAUGUACAUUUCAAACUGAAUUACAGUGAAUAAAAAUUUGUAUUUUAACUUGUUGAGUGACUCACAUUUUAUGACAUUGCCAAUUUAUUCUAGAAGCCAACAGGACACUGCAAUACAAACAACAUUGUGUAUUGUUUAGUUCUUUAUGGUUUAUGAAACAUUCACAUAUACUGAAGUGAAUUUUUUUCCCCAAAAACAUCUAUCCUACUGAGUCAUGAAACUUCUAGAUUUUUAGCCAGGUGUGGUGGCUCACACCUGUAAUCCCAGCACUUUGAGAGGCCCAGGUAGGCGGAUCCCUUGAGUGCAGGAGUUCGAUACGGGCCUGAGCAACCUGAAGAAAUCCCAUCUCUACUAAAAAUAAAAAUUAAAAAAAUUUGACAGGCAUGGUGGUGCAUGCCUGUAUAGUCCCAGAUACUCAUACUCGGGAUGCUGAGGUGGGAGAAUCGCCUGAGUCCAGGAAAUCAAGUUUGCAGUGAGCUGUGAUCACACCACUGCACUCCAGCCUGGGUGAAAGAGAGAGACCCAGUCUCAAAACAAAAACAAACAAACAAACAAACAACUUCUGGAUUUUU
rnacentral:lncRNA from 10 species